GUACACCAUAUACUUGGGCGUUGCGCUGAACUUUUGGUAACCCUUGAUCACCUUAUUCACCGCGUCCAAGAAAUCCUUCUCUGUCACCGUCUUCCUGCGAGCGCGGAUGGCGUACAUGCCAGCCUCCGUGCACACACUCCGUAUGUCGGCCCCUUGGAGUUGGGGCAGAGGCGAGCGAGCAGCUCAAACCGGAUGUCCCGCUCGCAGUUCAUGGUGCGAGUGUGGAUCUUGAAGAUCUGGGUCCGGCCCUCCAGGUCUGGCAGGCCAAACUCAACUUUCCUGUCCAGACGCCCUGGACGUAGUAAUGCAGGGUCCAAGGUAUCGGGCCUGUUGGUGGCCAUGAGGACCUUGAUGUUUCCCCUGGCAUCAAAUCCAUCAAGCUGAUUAACAAUCUCAAGCAUAGUGCGCUGGACCUCAUUGUCACCACCAACACCAUCGUCAAAGCGAGCACCACCGAUGGCAUCGACUUCAUCAAAGAAGACAAUGCAAGCCUUCUUCGAUCGUGCCAUUUGGAAGAGUUCCCGAACCAUGCGGGCCCCCUCACCAACAUACUUCUGAACUAGCUCACUUCCUAUGACUCGAAUAAAGCAAGCAUCCGUGCGGUUGGCCACUGCCCUAGCAAGAAGUGUUUUCCCAGUUCCAGGAGGGCCAUAACACAGUACUCCCUUAGGAGGAUCGAUACCAAGUUUGACAAACUUUUCUGGGUGAAGCAUAGGAAGCUCAACCACCUCACGCAUCUUCUCAAUCUGCUCCUUGCAUCCACCAACAUCAUUGUAAGUCACAU
rnacentral:sRNA from 1 species